UGUCCAGGGAUGGGAAUCGAACCCAUAGUGUUCCGCUUACCAGGCAGAUGCCAUGCCUAUCUUCAGCUAACUAUAAC